UAAUUUUAACUGUUGUAUUUAUAAAUUUAUGUAUUCGUUAUUUUCCUUCCUCUGAGGUUUAAUAUUGUUGUAAAAUAUUUGUAAUCGCGCGUUAAUAUAAUCAAAAAUAAUCUUUAUCGUCGUUGUCAUCCUCGUCGUCGUCGUCGUCAUCGUCGUCAUCGUCGUCGUCAUUAUCAUCAUCGUUGUGGUGGAAGGAAAAGGCAGAAAUAAUAUUUUGAAACGGGGUGAAAACAACAGGCUACGUUUCAUGCUGUUUGAAACUUUGUGACUGCGAACUGCAUACAACUUUGGUUAUCAAAAUCAACAUCGGUAUAUAUACUUGUUUUAAUAACUCUACGGGAAAGGAACGAAUUAAACGACGAAAAAACUUGUGUCGCGAACAAUUUUUCGAUUGGUGUGAUUUUUUGUGCUUAUGAUCAAAGUUUCGUUGGUUAUAACCGUUGGCUGUCAACUGAUUAAACAACGUUACCCUGUACUCGUGCUUUUGUCGAGUACAUACAACGUCAUACUGUAAAACGUAUGUUACAGACGAACAUUAAUAUAUACGCGUGAAUAACUGUAAAUCUUAUCUACAUUAUUAUUCUUAUUUCAUUCUCUACGGUUUUAAUCACAAGUUAUAAAGUAUCGCGAAAAAGGUGAUAAUACGCUACUUGGUCGAUGAUAAAACCGAAGAAACAGUCGACAGAUCGAGGACAAAUUCACCGGCGCUAGCCAGUUUCGGAAUUGAUCAUAAAGAAACUGAUACAAGAAGAGUAAAAAAAAAAAAAAAAAAAAAAAUCUGAGAAAAGUGGAAGACCAGCACCAUCAAGAAUAUAAAUACGCACGUGCGUGUAGUAUAAACAAACGAACGAAAGGAAGAGAGAAAAACAAAAACAAAAAAAAAAAAAAUAAAGUAAAACAAAAUAAAAUAAUAAAAAACAACAACAACAACAAUAACGGCAUAAAGUAACGAAAAUAUAAUGCUGCUGUAAUUAUAAAAGAUAAAAUUUGUUGCGGCAACGUCGAUGAGAGCGCGCUGAGCGUGGAACUCGUGAUAGCGUUGCGAGGCGGCGAGCAGCCGUUGGAGUAACCAACUCGUGGUACUGAGUCGGCGUCAUCGAUGACUUGAGGAGCAGCGGUGAGGAGCGGAGCGAAGGAGGCGGCAUUCGUUCGCCGGAAUCGUUGCUCGAGUCUCGAGUCUCGAGCCCAAGUCUUCGCGGCGUCAUACCGGUAGAAAACUGGUGCCUGUGGUAGCAACAGCAACAGCAACAGCAACAGCGAAACAACGGAGGUGUUUGUAAUCAGUCUGGUUUUUGGUUUGAAUCGGUGCGAUGAGCAGAAUCACGUGAACAAUCACACCCUGAGUGCAUCGCUCGACGAGUGUCGCGUGUAUAAUUUUGCGCUUCGAUUGUUGUUGUUCCUCAGUCCCGUUGGUUUUCUUCGAAUAAUUGUGACUUUCGCAAUCGUUGCACGUUUUUAAAAAAACUGAGGUUAAAGCAACCGAAGGGGAUAUUCCGAUUCCACUUCUACUUCCACUUGUAUGUUCUUCACUUCUUCAUCGUGUGCAUAACUCGUAGGAGAACAACAAAGGCUCAGUGGUUCUUGAUACGUGAAAGAAGAAAUAUACACACAUAGAAGAAAGGCAGAAAGAAAGAUCGAAAAGGAGAUAG